CCUACGGGGUGCAGCAGUGAGGAAUAUUGGUCAAUGGACGAGCGUCUGAACCAGCCAAGUAGCGUGAAGGAUGACUGCCCUAUGGGUUGUAAACUUCUUUUAUAUGGGAAUAAAAUGUUCCACGUGUGGGAUUUUGUAUGUACCAUAUGAAUAAGGAUCGGCUAACUCCGUGCCAGCAGCCGCGGUAAUACGGAGGAUCCGAGCGUUAUCCGGAUUUAUUGGGUUUAAAGGGAGCGUAGGUGGAUUGUUAAGUCAGUUGUGAAAGUUUGCGGCUCAACCGUAAAAUUGCAGUUGAAACUGGCAGUCUUGAGUACAGUAGAGGUGAGCGGAAGUCGUGGUGUAGCGGUGAAAUGCUUAGAUAUCACGAAGAACUCCGAUUGCGUAAGCAGUUCACUGGACUGCAACUGACACUGAGGCUCGAAAGUGUGGGUAUCAAACAGGAUUAGCUACCCCAGUAGUC
rnacentral:rRNA from 1 species